UCGAAGGACGGCACGUAGACCGUUGGCUGUCGAGCCGCGCGGGAUGGAGUGCAGAUGUGUUGCGCGGCAGAACAACAUGUACGCUUACAAUUACAAUCAAAUGUCAUUUGCCAUCUAUGAGCUGGAACUACAGGCAAGAAUUAAGCAAAAACAAAGAGCGACAUAAUUGCCACCAAAGGACUUUAAAAACUGUUUUACUUGGAUUGACGAGAUUUUUAUGAUAAAAAUGAUACCGAACAUAGCCAUACCUUCGAAAUCAGUUCGGUCAACUGCGCGGGAUACGGUGUGUAGGUUUGUUCGGGGGUAACAUUGUAAAAUGACAUUGAAUGCUGAUGUUAAAUCUGUCAUUUAGAGAUGCAUUUGGCUACUUUUCGCUGUAAUGUAAACAACAUCCGUCAAUUGCCGGAUUGUUCCCACGGAUCCGAGAACUACAAUUCAGCGUCUAAGGGGCCUGGUUUCGGAAGUGAUCCUGAAGUCGGCUACCCGAGACGUACGAGGAAUGCGCGGCGGGAAGCUUUGAAGAAGUAGCGCAUCCAACUUGCCGCCGAAGGGAGUGGCACGAACCACCGACCGGUAGAUGCGCUUCUUCCAAGCUAGGAGGCUCGGAAGGCUUCGCUCUCCUACAGUAUGAGGCAUGAGACAUCAGGGUGGACGAGGACACGGCGUACGCUGGGAUUCUGCUCAUCGUGGGAAGUACAAUGCCUUACCUUGAGUCUGGCCAUUAAUGAGAGCUUUGUCCUCUCGAUGAUCGUGGAAGCGAUGCUGACAGAAAUUGAAUGCUGGCUGCUCCGUAUGCGAAGGGGUUAUGCUCACAAAGAAGCAGGCAGAAAGGGAGUGGGAAAAAACAUCCCACUCAAGCAGGGUAGCGCGCCGUGGAGUUUCAGUGGGCGUGCGACACAGAGCCACGCUGUCGUCACCGUCGGCCGGCGAAUGAUCGGUCGAAAAGUCGUAAGGGACCGUGAAAACUGGACCCCAAAGAACAAUAAACCGUAGAGUCUUGCUGUUUUACCGAUUAGCAAUUCUAACGGACCACCUAAAACCUCUUGAGACAAUGGGCAAGCAGAGAAUACUGGUCUCUUCUUUGUAUUCUACGAUAAAGGGAAUCGGAUCGUAAAGCAUAUGUAUUUGCGAUAUAUUUCGCGAGCUCAUCAUUUCGCAGUUUAUUGGCGAUUUCUGAAAUUUGGGGAUUGCGACGUUUCACCGUUAAUAGCUAAUCUCCUGAAAUUUCGGCCAGAUUAAUUUCUUUAUCUGCAACUUUGUUAAUUAUACUGUAAUUCAUGUCUAUGGGAUUCUGCGAAAAGAAAUCUAUGUGAGUCAUUCAUUUGCCUCCUCGAUACAUAAUACCAAGAUUGAAAGUUUGUAAGUAAGCCCAUCACCUGUAAACCCUGUCAUUUAAACUCACUUUAUUGCUAGGUGCCUACAAAGAAUUACAGUCGACAACAACAAGAAAUUCCCGUCCAUGUAACUAGUGGUGAAAAUGUUUCACAGCGUUUACAAUUGCUAACAUCUCUAGUUCAUACGAAUGGUACCUGGAUUCCACAGGACUAGUCCUUUUACUGUAGUGUUCUACGACUCUGUUUUUUACCUUCUACCUUAUGCAUUAAAAUAGCCGCGUAUCCAUCCGAACUAGCGUCACUAUGUAGGUCGAUCGAAUAGUUAGGAUCAAAUAUCAUUAACACCGGCGCGUAAGUUGGGACGGAAAUUACCUUUUGUCUUAUUUCUUCAUGUUUAUCUGUCCAAGUUAUGAUUUUCUUACCGGAAGUGAGUGCAUACAGAGGAUUCAUUACUUGUGGAAAUUUAAGAACGAAUUUUCGGAAGUAAGAAGCUAAAGCUAUGAAUUGCCUAAGCUGUGUGACGGUCGUUGGUGCAGAUAAAGAACUCAAGGCCUGUAUUUUAUCCAAGUUGGGGCGAACUUCUCCGUUAUGUAUUACAUAUCGGUAUAAGAUUAAGAAGAAAAUCCGGCAUUUAUGAGGGUAUUUAAUACGGUGUACAAUCUUUUUAGAGCUUGAUCUAUGGAGUCGGCAAUAAUUAGAAUAUCAUCCAAACAAACAACAACGUACGAUUAACACGUUGAGUGUCAGGCGUGCCGCAGUACCAAGCGUUCUCUGCUAGGUGCUCACAUCAAUAUUUUAGUAAUACGAGUCGUUCAAGCGGUGAUGAUAGUAUCAAUUAAUUGCAUUUCUAACUGGCCUGUAUUUACGCGAGUACGUAGGAAAUCCUUAACGAAUGAAUCUUUGAAUUUUUCGACAAGAGAAAUUAAUCGACUUUUAUCAUUACCAUGUACAUCAGUGUCAACUUCAUUAAUAUCGAUCUCGUUUUCAAUGGUCUUAUUAGAGAAAUUAAUUAUUUUUGUUUUACACAUAGCGAGGCUAUUUUGUGUGAGAUUACGUCAAAACCAAGACUUAAAAAUUCACGAUCGUUCACGAUAUCAUAUUUUAAGUAGCUAUCAGCAAGGACAUGAAAAUUUAUCUGCAAUUCAAAACCAUUAAUACAUACAAUGGACAAGAUUUGAGAUGUACGUUUAAUACAAAUUUCCUAUUCCUCGCAUUACUACUAUGUCAGUCGCUCUCGAGGCUACGGAUUCUUUAAAUAGUGAACACUCGGUCCCAGAAUCGGAGUAAAAUGGAAAUGACUCACCCACAUGAAUUAAUAUACCAGUUGACGUUUCCACUACGUAGAAGUCGACUCGUCGCUCGUUAUUGAAAUUAUAUUCAGAGCGCUAAUUUGUAAAGGAUUUUCCUCCAUAAUCAGAUUGUCAGCUGCGCACCACGCAGCGGGGCCGAAGCCCAUGGUAUCAGGGUUGAAACGCGGUAGCGGAAGAUUUUUAGUUCCCGCAUUCGAUUUUUGUACUAGCGACUGAAUUAACUCACGCAUGAUGUUCCUAAGCUCUUGCACUGUUAUAACCGGCACUGAUCCCACUUCUGAUGUCGGGUUCACAUUAUGAUUAGGACUAGGGGUGUGAAACGAAUCUUCAUUUGGGUUAGACGUUGUUGUUAUGAAAUAGAGAUGAUAUUUACUGGUGCAAAUAUGAUUAUUACGGAAUUUGACAAGUAACCGUGGUAAUUAGAUACUCGAUGCUAAUGAUCCUAGGUUCAAUAACGUAUCCGCGGUCAACAGGAUAACGAAUAUAUUUUCUUCCAAAGUCUAAGUCGGACUCUGUUAAAAACGUGAAGUAUCCACUGAUCGUGAUCAAGUUUAGAGUGAUAAUGAUCCUGGUAGCAUAUAAUUUUCUGUAUUUUGUAAAAGACUCACUGAUUAAGAAAAUAUACCUAUUUUUAUAUUCGUUUGAUCUGGACGCAAGAGCCAAGUGAUCACUGUGUAUUAUAUUAAAUGCAUGUACAUGUAAAUGUACAUUACUAUUCGACAUGGUAUGUAACGAUUCCUCGGGUUUUCCAUAAUUUGGUGUAAACAUGAUACAUUUGAGACAGCACCUAUUGUACCGAUAUAACUACGAACUAUCAGCAUGAAUGAAUGGUCCAGAAAAAUUGAAGUUUAUACUCAUGUAAACCUAACAAUAAUAUGUCACUUGUAUUUUAAUGAAAACAAGAUGUAUAAUGUCUGUGCUGAUCGAAUGCUAGCAGAUGUAUAUCGAAUGAAUGGUGAAGUAUGUCGCAACUCACUGGCAAUGCGUUCUGGCAGAACACUAGAAAGUGUCACUGUUUGUAGGCUAGAAUAUGUGUUGCCCGAAGACUGGAUUGUAUGCUUCUACGAAAGGUUAGCUAUUAGUACAUCUGUCAGAUAAGCCACACAAACGAAUGCGCAAGGCGUAGGAGAAACGGGCCUCACAGUUAGAUCAUAGAAAAACUUUAGUAGAUUUGAAAACCCUCCUUGUAUAGCGUUAAAAGUUUGUUGCAAAAUCGUAUCAGGGGAAUCCGGUACCAUCUCUACCUCCUACUAGUAACAGGUACAAUAAUCAAGAACUACAAUCGCGUCUCGUAUCGUUUAUCUCGUUAACACUGAGAUGGUCAAAUGCAUAUCAUGCACUGCUGACCAUGGGUUAUAUUUCUGUCAGUCAUUCAAAUCAUUGGCAUUCUAAGCACGCAGGUCGAAAGUUAGAGAAUUAUCUGCUUUAGGUAUCUUCAUACAGGGCACGGCAUUAAGAUUUGUACUUAAGGUACAUACCGUAUAUGUAAGGUAAAACAUUAGAAAUUUAAAAAAAGAUUGAAAAAAAUUAAAUCAAAAAGGAUCAGAUUCGGUCGCAAAUCUUGUCGUAAUAGAUAAAUGAACAGAGGAAAUGAGGUCCGAUAAUCAAAGUUAUACUAUUUUUCAUAUCUCGGUCUACUAUCAACAGCAAUUGUUCAUGUAAUUGAUGACCAAGGUAGAAGAUGUAACGUCCCGCGCCCUGCACGAUCCGUAACGCGAAAAUUUGAACGCGCGACCCGCGACUCGAAAAAGAGAUAUGUCUUGUGAUAAAUUUACCUAACGAUAUUGAGGCAGUUUAAAAUUGUAAACAAAGUCGGCAGUUUGAACAAACAUUGGGGAUCUUCCGAAACAUUUAAAAAAAGAAAGACCCCGAUGUCUUUUCAUCUCCGACAGAUAUAAAUAAAUGUGGCAACUUAGAGUGGUAA